AUUUUCCCUCCUAUUUCUUCCUCCUUUCCCCACCGAACCCAUCUCCCGCUGAUUCCUUUCCCUCUCUCCCUCUUCGUCCCUUGGCUCUUUCACUCCCUCUCUCCCUCUCUCACCGUCAAUCCUCAUCGCUGCCGCCGCUGCUCGCCGCCCCCACCGUUGACUCCUCUGCUCUGCUCCGCCUCCACACCGCACGUCGACCAUCCUGCUCUGCUU
rnacentral:lncRNA from 1 species